AAAUGCGAUAAGUAGUGUGAAUUGCAGAAUUCAGUGAAUCAUCGAAUCUUUGAACGCACAUUGCGCCCGCCAGCACUCUGGCGGGCAUGCCUGUUCGAGCGUCAUUUCAACCCUCAGAACCCCUUGCGGGAUCUGGCGUUGGGGAUUGGCAUCCAGCCAGCCCCGAAAUCUAGUGGCGGUCCCUCCGCGACCUCCCCUGUGCAGUAGCGAUACCUCGCAGCGGGACAGCGGUCUGACCACGCCGUAAAACCCCCAACUUCUCAAGGUUGACCUCGAAUCAGGUAGGAAUACCCGCUGAACUUAAGC
rnacentral:misc_RNA from 1 species